rnacentral:rRNA from 1 species
AGGACGAACGCUGGCGGCGUGCUUAACACAUGCAAGUCGAGCGGUAAGGCCUUUCGGGGUACACGAGCGGCGAACGGGUGAGUAACACGUGGGUGAUCUGCCCUGCACUUCGGGAUAAGCCUGGGAAACUGGGUCUAAUACCGGAUAUGACCUCCUAUCGCAUGGUGGGUGGUGGAAAGAUUUAUCGGUGCAGGAUGGGCCCGCGGCCUAUCAGCUUGGUUGGUGGGGUAAUGGCCUACCAAGGCGACGACGGGUAGCCGACCUGAGAGGGUCGACCGGCCACGACUGGGACUGAGACACGGCCCAGACUCCUACGGGAGGCAGGCAGGUGGGGAAUAGU